CCAUUCUGUGAUUCUGUGAUCUGCCAAGUGCUUGCUCCAGAUCUGGGUGGGUACUGGGAACUCUGCAGAACAUGCCUGUAGCUGAAAGGAUGUGGACUGUGGGCAGGCAAAGCUUCUCCAUACUUGCAGACACAGGAAUACUGGGGAGGCAGAAGGAGAGGCUGAGGGAGGCUCUGGCAGGCAUGAGAGGCUCUGGCAGGCAUAUUGUGUUGUAUAAUUAUAAAAAUAUAAAAACAUAUAGAAAAUUAAACUAUUGAAAGGUAACUUUAUCAUAUAUUCUUAUUACAAUACUGCAAUAUAGACAUAUUGUACUGGUGGUGAUGGUAUAGCUUGAGCAAGCAGAAUUCAACAGUUAUGCUUAGAGAGGGGGAUGGGGAUUUCCCAGGCUGGCCUUUAAAACAAAUUGUAUUGGCCAAAUGCUCUGGACUAGAUAGAUUUCCAAAACAAUGUCAGGUUAUGUUACAUUUGUAAAGUCUUAACAGCAGUAAAACCAUUAAUCUGUGUGUGACUUCACAUGAUUUUAUGCUAAAGCAUAUAAAGCUUUACAAAUGCAACAAAUAUUUUAAACAUUGAACUGAAGAUUCCAAUAUAAAGUUUCAACAGGCUGGUGUUUAUGGCGAAAUCAACCAAUGAAAACCACCAGGGUCUCAAGGGGACUCUGCACUCAGACUCAUGGCUUUCCCCAAAGCAUUCCCCAUAGAAUGCAAACUUCCCUGUGCAGCAGCUACUGAGAUUUGUCCAUUCUGGAAAAGGCCAGGCUCUUCUUCAGGAGACAACAGACACCAGUCGCUGAGCUCUGAUGCCUGAGCCCAUUGGAUUUAGCCCUAUUUAAUCCCCUUUGAGCAGUAACACAAACCUUUCCACAUUUCUGGUUUCCAUACACAACCAAGAGUAGAGUUUGUGUAACUCUAGGUGGACAGACUCUGAUUGCUGUCUCAAUCCCUCCCUCAAAGAGGGAGUGAUCUCUCUCUUCUAAACUAAUUGUUUAAAUGAUGAAAACCAGAUAAAGAUGUGGAAAACAUUUGAAUAACCGGAAUGAAAGUCAAAGCUUCUUGGAAUUACUGAGAGUCCCCUCAUUGCCUUUGAUGAAUAAAUAUCCCACUGAUGGAGUACUCUGAAUUACAGACAGGCGAAAAGCACUGAGCUGAGUAACACACAGAAGAAAUCAAAAGCUUUCUCCACUCUGCCUCUGGUCUUGCAGAUUUAAAAUCACAGAUCAUAAGCCGAUAAUAUGGGCAGAGCAGAGCCCUCUGACUCCAGCAAUGAAACCAUUUGGAGGCAGAUGUGGGCAGAGCAGUUGUUCAAGCUACUCCAAGAAACCGAGGCAUUUUCCUGGGAUCUCUUUCCUUCUCCUCUUGCAACAUUCAGGAAAAUACGCUAAUGGCUUUACUGAAACACUUGUUUUGAUAAGUGAAAAAUACUUUAGGACAGUCAUCAUGACUGGCUAACUUGUGAGCUUUUGAGACAAAUGGGUUUUUUAUGCAUUAUAGUGCUCAUGUGUAUGCAUCUUUUUUUCUAAUGUCAAAUGAAAAGAAGUUUUGGAAAUUUUCAGUCAACAGAAAACAAGACAGUGGAAUUUAUCUUCUUUUGCUUACUGGACAACUUCAUAAACCUUUUUGGUAGAGCUGUUUUUUUUUUUUUUUGUUACAUCUACCCCAGUAAACACAAAUGGGUGUAAGACACAGUGAGGAGAUGUUUAGACAUCUAAGACAUUGAAUUUAGUGAAAAGGGACUGAGUUUAAAAAGGAACUAAAAAAACCCAAACAAACACAACACCUUAAUUUCUGCCUAUCUAGGAUGGACUGUUUUGGAUUCAGUAUUAUGUGCUGCAACACUACUGCAAACUGUAACAUCUCCAUUUUUUCAUAUAAUAUAUUCUACAAAAUUACUAAUCAAACUCUCCCCACCUCCCUCUGGUUAAUAUGGAGAUUAAUCAUCAAAUGCCUUUUGUGAUAAGGAUAGCAAGUAUUACAAAGGUGAAUGAUGUUAGGAAAUGCAUUAAGUUUGAUAAUGUGAAACCACCCACUCCGUCCUCUCACUCACUCAGAGAUGAACUCCAGAAUAACCCAGUUCUGCUGUUCUGCAUCUAUGUGAACUUCCUCCACACAUUCAGUGGAUUACUGCAAUAGCAGAUCUGGGCAUGGGUUGAGCUGACCCCGCUCUGCUGUGUCUCUUUUAAAAGUUGGCUCAUUCCUUGUUUCUUUGACUGUGACCUUCAGCACAAUCCACAUACUGCCUCUGCUUUUCUCAAGGCUUGCCCCACUACCACAGCCAUUUUGUGAAGAAGUGGAAGAGAAGUCUCCAUCUGGAUGGCUGGACAUGGAGGAAAACAGACUCAUGUUUCAGCUUCAAGAUGAAUUAUACUUCAAAGCAAACUGCUACCAGCUCAGUUAACUUACACAACACAGGGAAGCGGAGGUUAAUGAACAUUUAUUGGACCAACUUAAGACCCUGAAAUCAUAGGCAUCAGUCAGAAUGAGGAAGCAUACUGGUAAGAUCAAGUUUUCUUUACAAAUCUAUGAGCUCCUGUACAACAAUAAAGUAUAAAGGGGGCAAACAGAAAUAUUUGUUUCUUCCCAAUCCCAGGGCUGCUUCUGAGGUCACAUGCAGCAUAAAUUUAGAGGAGUCCAAGAGGCACUCUGUGCAGUGAUAUUUACAACACUAGGAGGCCCUUCUCCAGUUGGAAGAUGGAAAAAAAGAGAUUCUAACAUUAGUUCUGCGCCUUCAUAAGCCUUCCCCACAUGAGCAAAACUAUCUGCUGAAUUUAUAGCAGCUUUUUGUCUUCUAUUUACCACACAAAUAACCCAGGUGCACCAAUGGGGUUUAGGCAGGAGGCUGGGAGAUGUGGGUGGGGCAAACUGUGGGCUUCCUCUAAGCUGUCUGUAACUGUGCUGAAACUGCUUCAAGGAGCUCAGGAGCUGUGUGGCUGGGCUUUCCUGGGUGUAUUGUAAGCGAAUCUCUUGCUGCCUAAGGUUCCUACAAGGAACACAGUCUCUGGUGAAGCAGUAAUGCUAACUGAUGUGCCUUAUUGUGUCCAGGUUUGGGGCCCCCAAUACAAGAGAGACAGGGAACUGUUACAGAGGGUCCAGAGGAGGGCCACAAAGAUGAUCAGAGGGCUGGAGCACCUCCCCUACGAAGACAGGCUGAGGGAGCUGGGCUUGUUCAGUCUGGAGAAGGGAAGGCUGUGGGAUGACCUCUUUGCAGCCUUUCAGUACCUAAAGAGAGCCUGCAAACAGGAGGAGAGCCAACUCUUUACAGGGGUAGAUAAUAGCAGGACAAGGAGAAAUGGUUUUAAGUUGAAGGAGGGAAGAGUUAGGUUGGAUGUCAGGGGGAAGUUCUUUACUAUGAGAGUGGUGAGGUGCUGGCACAGGCAGCCCAGGGAGGUUGUGAUGCCCCAUCCCUGGAGGUGCUGAAGGCCAGGUUGGAUGGGGCCCUGGGCAGCCUGGUCUAGUAGAGGCUGGUGGUUUUGCAUGCGGCAGGAGGGUUGGAGCUUCAUGAUCCUUGAGGUCCCUUCCAACCCAAACCAUUCUAUGAUUCUGUUAUUCCAGUUUUUGACUCUUGAUAAAAGGCUAUACAGUGGGAAUUGAAGACACAAAGAUUUCCAAGGCAGUCUUUUUACAGUGUAAUAUUAACUGAAUUGUAGCUCCACUUAGGAGAAGAAAAGUAUAUUAAUUCUAUUCAAUCACUACUCAUGUCAUCUACAUAAGGCAGAAGCACCCUCAGGGGCUUUAUGAGUUUUCUUUCCUUACAGGCUGGAUAUACAGAAUCUUCAAGAAAUUCACAUGACCAGAGCUAAAAGUUUGCAGUCAAAACAUUUAUGGUGAGCUGAAUCCCAAUUAUCACAUCUACCUUACUUGUUUAGUGUCGUAAACAGUUGAGAUGAAGAAUGUGUCACUGAAGUCAAAUACCAGUGCUUACCAGGUAAGUUUGUAUUUCUAGCAUCAGAAACACUCCACCGCGUGGCUCUCAGUAGACCUUCUUGUCUUUGUACUUUACUGGGAUAAGAAGUGGUUGAGAAUGAAUGAAGCCAUCACCUGGAUGAGCUGAGUCAGUGUGCAGUGCUACCACUGCAACAGUUGAUCUACAAGAACACCUGCUAGGAUGCAUCCAGAACUAAAAUGACACAACAAGACUACUUGAAAAAUGAUUUUUUAUGCUCAACACAGCUUGCACCCAUCCCCUUUUAGAGGGGCUAAAUUCAGAACAGGUGAGCAGCUGCUAUCAGUCUGAUUGGUUCCCUCUUGUUGUCUGGCUUCCUUAUGCCAGGCCCACACAGACCAUUUCUCAUUGUUUUGCUUCCAGUCCUCCACACAGUGUACAUUCAAGGGAUGUAGUUAUGGUACUUGUUUUGGGACUAGGGCAUGGAACUGUGAAUCCAGUCAUGGCAUAAAUGAGCUCUGCAUCAGAGUAAAGCUAUGGAUGGAGUUUCCCAGCUGUGCUGUGAGGGCUGCACAAAGGAAACACGCUGCCUGGAUUAGCUGGAGCCUUACAAGAAGAAUAGAUUUGGCCACCUGACCCGCAGGAGUAGGCAGGAGAAAAUGAGCAGCUUUUGCACUUGCUGAUUAUUGCCCUGAUGAUAAAGAGAAUAUUUUCUGAUGACAGAAAAAAAUCUGAUUACAGGAAACGUGGUCCCACACAGCUGAAACAGCCUACAGAUAAUUACGGCUCAUAGUUCAACUUAAGGACAAAUCCAUUGAGAACACUGUGUAAUUUUAACAUAAAUACUGAACUUCAUACUAUGAAACAGCGCAGCCAACAGAGCUUUUAACACAAACCGUGCUAAGGAACAUUUCUGACACCUAGAAAGAAGCUGUAACGCUUGCUUCUGUUAAGCAUUUUCAGGAAGAACGUAAACCAUCUGGGCUGGUGAGGGCAGGAAAAAGGGAAACAAAACAUAAGGUCAGCACAUUUAAUUACUUUUUCUUCCUCGGCUCUGCUCUGACUCUAAGCUGUGCUCGGAAAGGCUAAGCAGAGCCUCUGUGCUCCUCCGCCAGGGCCUUCACUGAACAGACUUCAAGAAACCUUUUCUCGCUGCGAGAGGCACUGAUUUGUUCUUGGAACUCCCUGCGAUGAAAUGAAGGACCAAAAGCAUUCGGUUGUUGAACACAUAAAAGGAAGUAUAUUUAAAAUAAAAAAACUUGGUCAGACUGUAGCGUCAAUUACCAUUUUGAAGGAAUUUACAGGGCUGUUUUAGAUGAGUCUUUUGGAAUAGUCAAGUUUACCGCAAUGCCUAAACUGGUUUCUUCAUUGCACAGUAUUUUCUUUUAAAAUGUGUGCAUUUUUAAACAAUUACAUACAUAUUAAAAAUCAGCAUUUCUUUGCUUAAACUUAAUUAAAACGUUAAUACUCUCAGACAACACAGAUCUGAAAUGGUGAAACCAGUAACUGCCCCCUCCCACCUUACAACAAAUUAAAUUGAGACAAAAUUACAAACACGUUUCACUACAUGAUUAUUAUUAAUAAAAAUCAGUUUUCUUUUUUUUUCUUUUUUUUUUAUAAAGUUGCCCAAAAUGCAAGGGAUGUGCAUAGGUUUACAACUUAGUCAGAAUAAUAUUUCACUUUAUUCCCUUGGGUACGUUUUCCCAUGAACGGAAUGUACUUUGCUGUAGAUUACAGUUUUUUUUUUCAACACAGAUACACCAACGGCAUGAACGCUUGCGACUGUCCACAUGCAUUAAGAGUCAAGACCCAAUUGCAAAUUCCUAACAGAAGUUUUACAGAGUUCUUCAAAGAGACAGUAUCACAUUAUCUGGAUGUUACACAAAAGUACUUAAAAAUACUACCCUAAAAAAAAAAAAAAGCAAAAAAAAAAAAAAAAGCAAAGAAAGGCCUUUAAAAUUUAUGAAUUUGUUUCGUAACCACUAGGCUGAUUAUUUCAAAUAAAUAAAGGAAAGUAUUCUGAUCCACAAAAUCAGACUCUAAAAAGAAUGUAGUGUUCCACCCCCAAGUUAAGGUAACAGAAUCAUAUUAUUAUUACUAUUAAAAUAGAUUAUAGAAAGCAGCAUCUAUUUUGUGCAGUUUUUAGGGGCCCUUGAAAUAAAAAGCUAUGAUUUCCAAAAAUAUAACAUUCCAAAGGACUGAAUAAUACAUACAUUUAAAGAUACACUUUAUUAAAUUUUAGGAGAAAUGAUUAAAAAAAAAGAUACU